rnacentral:rRNA from 1 species
AUUGAACGCUGGCGGCAGGCCUAACACAUGCAAGUCGAACGGUAACAGGAAGCAGCUUGCUGCUUCGCUGACGAGUGGCGGACGGGUGAGUAAUGUCUGGGAAGCUGCCUGAUGGAGGGGGAUAACUACUGGAAACGGUAGCUAAUACCGCAUAAUGUCGCAAGACCAAAGAGGGGGACCUUCGGGCCUCUUGCCAUCGGAUGUGCCCAGAUGGGAUUAGCUUGUUGGUGGGGUAACGGCUCACCAAGGCGACGAUCCCUAGCUGGUCUGAGAGGAUGACCGGCCACAUGGGAAGUGAGACACGGACCAGGCUCCUACGGGAGGCAGCAGUGGGGAAUAUUGCACAGUGGGGGCAAGCCUGAUGCAGCAGGGCGGCGUGAAGGAGGAAGGCCUUGGGUUUGUAAAGUCCUUUCGGGGGGGAGGAAGGGAGAAAGGUUAAUACUUUGCCUCAUUGACGUUACCGGAAAAAGAAGCACCGGCUAACUCCGGG